rnacentral:rRNA from 1 species
AUUGAACGCUGGCGGCAGGCCUAACACAUGCAAGUCGAGCGAGCGGCGGACGGGUGAGUAAUGUAUGGGGACUGCCCGAUAGAGGGGGAUAACUACUGGAAACGGUAGCUAAUACCGCAUACUAUCGGAUAACCCAUAUGGGAUUAGCUAGUAGGUGAGGUAAUGGCUCACCUAGGCGACGAUCCCUAGCUGGUCUGAGAGGAGGAUCAGCCACACUGGGACUGAGACACGGCCCAGACUCCUACGGAGGCAGCAGGGGGGAAUAUUGCACAAUGGGGGGAAGGCUGAUGCAGCCAUGCCGGGUUUAUUAAGAAGGCCCUAAGGUUGUAAAGGACUUUCAGUCGGGAGGCGUUACCGACAGGAGAAGCACCGGGUAACUCCGGGCCAGGAGGCGCGGUAAUUC